rnacentral:rRNA from 1 species
AAACCCGGUGAUCUAGCCAUGGGCAGGUUGAAGGUUGGGUAACACUAACUGGAGGACCGAACCGACUAAUGUUGAAAAAUUAGCGGAUGACUUGUGGCUGGGGGUGAAAGGCCAAUCAAACCGGGAGAUAGCUGGUUCUCCCCGAAAGCUAUUUAGGUAGCGCCUCGUGAACUCAUCUUCGGGGGUAGAGCACUGUUUCGGCUAGGGGGCCAUCCCGGCUUACCAAACCGAUGCAAACUCCGAAUACCGAAGAAUGUUAUCACGGGAGACACACGGCGGGUGCUAACGUCCGUCGUGAAGAGGGAAACAACCCAGACCGCCAGCUAAGGUCCCAAAGUCAUGGUUAAGUGGGAAACGAUGUGGGAAGGCAUAGACAGCCAGGAUGUUGGCUUAGAAGCAGCCAUCAUUUAAAGAAAGCGUAAUAGCUCACUGGUCGAGUCGGCCUGCGCGGAAGAUGUAACGGGGCUAAACCAUGCACCGAAGCUGCGGCAGCGACGCUUAGGCGUUGUUGGGUAGGGGAGCGUUCUGUAAGCCGUUGAAGGUGGCCUGUGAGGGUUGCUGGAGGUAUCAGAAGUGCGAAUGCUGACAUAAGUAACGAUAAAGCGGGUGAAAAGCCCGCUCGCCGGAAGACCAAGGGUUCCUGUCCAACGUUAAUCGGGGCAGGGUGAGUCGACCCCUAAGGCGAGGCUGAAAAGCGUAGUCGAUGGGAAACAGGUUAAUAUUCCUGUACUUGGUGUUACUGCGAAGGGGGGACGGAGAAGGCUAGGCUAGCCGGGCGACGGUUGUCCCGGUUUAAGCGUGUAGGGGG